UCGGAGGGAGAACGUGUUCGUGCCUCUCUCCCAGCUGCUGAUCGCUGCCAGUGUUGGCAUUGCUUCGUGCGUAGCUGCAUCCCUCCCGUCUCUGUCUCCACCUUCACCUGGGCUCCUGUGUCUCCAUGGUUGUGAAGAUCAGGCGCUUUGGGCCUGGGUGAGUGGAGCCACUGCUUGGCCCUCCAUAGCAGCGCCCCGGAAGACACCAACAGUGGCACCUGGGGGACAGCCUUGUACCCUCCCAGCUGCAGGGCUCCAAGAACCAGCUUUUUGCCAAACCCUGCAGAGGCGACGGCAGGCUUGUGGCCGAGCCAAGUGCACCGUCUGGACGAACCUCCUGUCUGGGUCCAACCAGAAGCCGUGGCCCCGUGACUUCAGUCUCCUCUAGAGCUCACGUACUCCACCCUCCCAGCCCACGCUGAACAAAACUCAGCAGUGCAGCCAACACCAAGUGCCCUACACCGAAGUUCAAGACCCCAGGGGAUGAUGACAGCUCAGUGCUCCAAGUGGCCCGGUCUCAGGGACUGUGGCCCCAGUCAGGCCUGAGGACUCCAACCACCUUGAUGAAUGGUAGAGGCAACACAGAUGUCCGAGAGGUCCCCUUCUCAGGUGGUGAGGGGAAGGCUCAAAUGUGGGAGGCGAGUCACCAUAAAAACCCAUAAUAAUAAUAAUGCCAGGCAUGGACCCAUGUCUGUGCCAAGCCAAACAUACAGCAGGGUGGGGCAGGGCUAUUAUUACAGUUCACAGAUCUCUCAGGACGUGUAUGAGGCUGGUGGUCCGUGUCCUAAGUGGGCAGUAUGGUCAAUUCUAUUACAUCUGGGACCAUUCCAGGCCUUGGUGGUUUGAAAGAAAAACUGACUGUACAGAAUAACAGCGCCAUGCCCGACGUCCCCAGAUACAAUUUUCUUCGAUGACUCUGUAAAUCCACCCACUUUAUAGAUGGCUGUGGGCCCACAUGCUAUUCUUCGGCUGUGGCCCAGCCGUGCUUCCCUCAGCCAGUCCUGCACUCGGUCCGUGUGGCCGUUCAUUUCUCUUAAAGGUGAUGGUGGGGUGGUGGGUGCAGGCGUCUCUGCUUGUGGAAAAGCCUCCAGCUCAAACUUUCUCAACCCUGGCUGAAUGUUAGAAUCAUCCAGAGCGUUCUACAAGCCAGAGCUGCCUAAGGUUACCUCCCAAAUUCGGAUUCAAAGGGUCCAAGAUUGGGCAUAGGAAGCAGUAUUUGAAAACUAACCCCCUGCAAGUAUUGAAAGGGGGCUGGCAAUGGGGAGAACUCGGCUGUUCUAACUCGGGCCUCAGAGUCACCUGUGGGGGGGUGGGUAGAGAUGAGCAUCCCCACCCCCCGGCCAGCCGCUGACUCAGGAGGUCUGGGUGGGACCCGGAAAUCCAUGUCUUUCCGAAGCAGCUUCCUGUGCGGGUGGCAGGGAGCGGCGCUCAGGAAACACCGCUGGACCGGGGUGCCUCCCCCCAGCCUGGGGAGGGGGACGCAGUCUGAUACCACCUUCCUUGCUCUCACCCUAGCCUUCUCUUCCCCACCUGCCCCUCCCCACUUACCCUCAGCCACAAGCCUGAGGAGGAAGAGUGUUUCCAAGUGAGGUCCCCGACAGCGGCACCAGCAGCACCUGGGAACUCAUUAGAAAAGCCAGUUCUUGGGCCUCACCCCAGACCCACCAGGUCGGAAACCGGGGAUGGGAGGCAGCGACCUGGUUCAACAAGCCCUGUGGCAUGUCCUGAGCCGGCUCCAACGGGAGCACGCCUCACCGAGAAGAAGGAGAUGAAGACCAAGACCUGGGAUUUUCGGAAGAUCCAUCGCCCACUCCUAGCUGUAAGAUCUUGAACAAGAUGCUUCCCGCCUCUGACCCCAUUUCUGUAAAAGGACACUGAUUCUUGAUCUGUGUGUAGCCCUUGGGAACUGGGGCACCUCCUUUGCCAAUUAGACUUCAGGUUUAAGAAGCUCAAAUCCAGGGACUUAGAGCAAGUUUUGUCAUCACUCCCUGAGUUCAGAUGAGAAAACUGAGACUCAAGAAGCAGUUAGGGGGCCUGUUCAGGUCUACAGAGCUGAUGAUGGGUGGUCUUGGCCCACCAGGUCUGGGACACUCUCUCCCACCUUGUGGGGUCAACCUGGGUCAUUCUGAAGUCCAUCGCCAGCUUUGCAGGCCCCCCUCCACCCCAGCUACACCUCGCCACUCCCAAGGCUGUGAGGACAGGUGGGGGAGACCCUCCAAAGCCAGCGGCUAAAGGCAACGUCACUUGGAGCCCCUGAAUUGCACCUGGGGUGUGGCGGGACAGGGCAGGUAUCGCCGUCCAUGGUUUUCACCAUCAAAUGACAGCAAUGGACCAAACGUGGGUGGGGGCCUUGGGGGGGGUGACCCGUGGGAUGGGGCCUCGGGCACUGCUUCUAGAGAGCACAGUGACCUUUGGUUAACAACACAGGCUUCACGUUCCCCUGUGGGGACACUGGCGAAGAGUCACAAAAUUUAACUGGAUGUUGAAACCUUGAAAUGAAUACCAAACUAAUCCAAGAUGAACAAAAUAUCAAAUCUCAAGACAGAAGCUAAUACUGAACUUGCACAAUACAGCCUCACUUGCCACACCCUAAUCUUGGUGCUUGUUCUGAUAAAACUUUAUUCACAAUAACAGACUCACAGCAGGUAGUGGUUUUCCAGGGGUUUUUUUAAUAUUAUACUAAAAUAUUAACUUAUCUUGAUUACCAAGAGUUUUGGAGCUCUCUUAAAAUCUGCACCCAGUCCUGCCGCCGCCCCACCUGCCCAAGUCCCGAGGUGCUGGGCGUCCCAGCAGCGCCCAGGAGUCCUGCCGCCCCGGGCAGCUUCCCUUCCUCCCCUCACUCGGGAGCCUGCGUAUUUGCAGUGAACAUUCCCGAGCACAUUGCUGCUGAUGGGGCAGAGCCUUUGCCAGGGGUAUUCGCAUCAAAGUCUUUUCAACUUUAAUGGUGUAUGACAUUUUUGAGACAAAAUAUGGUUCGGCUAAUCAUAUUUUAAUAGCUCUACCUUUAUAAAUGGCCUGACUUGGAGUGUAUACAGUAAUAUUUUAAUUUCUUAGCUCUGAUGAGCAUCGUUCUAACCAGGUAUUCAGUUUCCCCAUUUAUAAAUUUCGCUCCCAGAUGUUGGAUGCCAGGGAAGUCUACAGAGCAACUAUACAAACACGAUAUUUAAUAUUGGAUGUCAGUUUGGGUGUUCCACUCAAUUUCCUGGAAAGAGCUCGAAACUCCUCUUAUUUGGGGCGGAAUGUCCAAUCAGUUUCAUACUCCGAGACCCUGCCCGGAUGGCCAUGUAAUACCGCAUAACUAAGUUCUCUAAUUUCUGAAAUGCAAAUUUGGAGCAGAUGUAGGGAAAGUGUGUCAUUUAUUUCCAAAUGCAACAGUUAUCAAGCCAAGCAACCAGGAGGCAUAG